rnacentral:rRNA from 1 species
AGUGAACGCUGGCGGCGUGCCUAAUACAUGCAAGUCGAACGAGUGGCGCACGGGUGUGUAAUGUAUAGCUAAUCUGCCCUACACUAGAGGACAACAGUUGGAAAAGACGGCUAAUACUCUAGAGUGUAGGAUGGGGCUAUAUUGUAUCAGCUAGUUGGUGAGGGAAUGGCUCACAAAGGCUAUGACGCAUAACUGGUCUGAGAGGAUGAUCAGUUACACUGGAAGUGAGACACGGUCCAGACUCCUGCGGGAGGCAGCAGUAGGGAAUAUUGCUCAAUGGGGGUAAGCCGGAAGCAGCAACGCGGCGUGGAGGAUGCCAUGUUGCGGUGCGUAAACUCCUUUUGUUAGGGAAGCGGUACCUAACGAAUAAGCACCGGCUAACUCCGUGCCAGCAGCCGCGGUAAUUC